AGCGAACGCUGGCGGCAGGCUUAACACAUGCAAGUCGAGCGGGCACUUUCGGGUGUCAGCGGCGGACGGGUGAGUAACGCGUGGGAACGUGCCCUCUGGUUCGGAAUAACUCAGGGAAACUUGAGCUAAUACCGGAUACGCCCUUUUGGGGAAAGGCUUGCUGCCGGAGGAUCGGCCCGCGUCUGAUUAGCUAGUUGGUGAGGUAACGGCUCACCAAGGCGACGAUCAGUAGCUGGUCCGAGAGGAUGAUCAGCCACACUGGGACUGAGACACGGCCCAGACUCCUACGGGAGGCAGCAGUGGGGAAUAUUGGACAAUGGGCGCAAGCCUGAUCCAGCCAUGCCGCGUGAGUGAUCAAGGCCUUAGGGUUGUAAAGCUCUUUUAUCCGGGACGAUAAUGACGGUACCGGAGGAAUAAGCCCCGGCUAACUUCGUG
rnacentral:rRNA from 1 species